rnacentral:lncRNA from 1 species
CAGGAAACUCAUUAUCUGCAAUAUUAGAGGGAGAAGCACGGUUAACUUUCUUGAAUAGAGGUGAAGAUUAUGUAAUGACAAUGCCAUACGCUCAUUGUAAAGGAAUUCUUUAUGGUACAAUGACAUUGGAGCUUGGUGGAACAGUCAAUAUUACAUGUCAAAAAACUGGAUACAGUGCAAUACUUGAAUUUAAACUAAAGCCAUUCCUAGGGAGUAGUGACUGUGUUAAUCAAAUAUCAGGGAAACUUAAACUGGGAAAAGAAGUCCUAGCUACUUUGGAAGGUCAUUGGGAUAGUGAAGUUUUUAUUACUGAUAAAAAGACUGAUAAUUCAGAGGUUUUCUGGAAUCCAACACCUGACAUUAAGCAAUGGAGAUUAAUAAGGCACACUGUAAAAUUUGAAGAACAGGGAGAUUUUGAAUCAGAG